rnacentral:rRNA from 1 species
GGCCGCGGGAAUUCGAUUCAGGCCUAACACAUGCAAGUCGAGCGGUUGAGAGAAGCUUGCUUCUCUUGAGAGCGGCGGACGGGUGAGUAAUGCCUAGGAAUCUGCCUGGCAGUGGGGGAUAACGUUCGGAAACGGACGCUAAUACCGCAUACGUCCUACGGGAGAAAGCAGGGGACCUUCGGGCCUUGCGCUAUCAGAUGAGCCUAGGUCGGAUUAGCUAGUUGGUGAGGUAAUGGCUCACCAAGGCUACGAUCCGUAACUGGUCUGAGAGGAUGAUCAGUCACACUGGAACUGAGACACGGUCCAGACUCCUACGGGAGGCAGCAGUGGGGAAUAUUGGACAAUGGGCGAAAGCCUGAUCCUUCAGGGCCGCGUGUGUGAAGAAGGUCUUCGGA